UACGAAGGGGGCUAGCGUUGUUCGGAAUCACUGGGCGUAAAGCGCACGUAGGCGGAUUGUUAAGUCGGGGGUGAAAUCCUGAGGCUCAACCUCAGAACUGCCUUCGAUACUGGUACUACUCGAUCGAGUCCGGAAGAGGUUGGUGGAACAGCUAGUGUAGAGGUGAAAUUCGUAGAUAUUAGCUAGAACACCAGUGGCGAAGGCGGCCAACUGGUCCGGUACUGACGCUGAGGUGCGAAAGCGUGGGGAGCAAACAGG
rnacentral:rRNA from 1 species